AGUCUCUUAGGUUUAUCUUAUCUGGUUAAUGGGUUAUCCAGCUCCCUUGCUUCUCUCCUCUCCCACUUAUCUUUUGAACUUUUUUCAGCCAAAGAUUUUUACCCAAAAACGAGCCUGAAGAGGAAGGAAGACACCAGUCGCCUU
rfam:Tursiops truncatus cont1.99753, whole genome shotgun sequence.